rnacentral:rRNA from 1 species
CACGUAGGGGGCGAGCGUUGUCCGGAUUUACUGGGCGUAAAGAGCGCGUAGGCGGCAAUUUAAGCGUGGCCUGAAAGCCCCCGGCUCAACCGGGGAGUGCGGCUGCGAACUGGGUUUCUUGAGGACGAUAGAGGAGAGUGGAAUUCCUGGUGUAGCGGUGAAAUGCGUAGAUAUCAGGAGGAACACCCGAGGCGAAGGCGGCUCUCUGGGUCGUACCUGACGCUGAGGCGCGAAAGCGUGGGGAGCGAACGGG